GUCUUUUUGAGUUAUUUUUAAAGUCUGACCUGCCCACUGAAAAAUUUUUAAAUGGCCGCAGUAUUCUAACUGUGCAAAGGUAGCAUAAUCAUUAGUCUUUUAAUUGAAGGCUGGUAUGAACGGUUGGACGAAGUAUAAGCUGUUUCAUAUAAAAUUUUAUUAGAAUUUUAUAUUUUAGUUAAAAAGCUAAAAUUUUAUUAAAAGACGAGAAGACCCUAUAAAUCUUUAUAUUUUAUAUUAUUCAAAUUUUUUUGAUUAAUUUUAUUUUUAUAAUAUUAAAUAUUUUGUUGGGGUGAUGUUAAAAUUUAAUGAACUUUUAAUUAUAAAUUUAAAUCAUUAAUUUAUGAAUAAUUGAUCCUUUAUUAAUGAUUAUAAGAUUAAGUUACUUUAGGGAUAACAGCGUAAUUUUUUUUGAGAGUUCAUAUCGAUAAAAAAGUUUGCGACCUCGAUGUUGGAUUAAGAUAUAUAUUUAGGUGUAGCUGCUUAAACAUUAAGUCUGUUCGACUUUUAAAUUCUUACAU
rnacentral:rRNA from 1 species